UACGUAGGGUGCAAGCGUUGUCCGGAAUUAUUGGGCGUAAAGAGCUCGUAGGCGGUUUGUCGCGUCUGCUGUGAAAACGCGAGGCUCAACCUCGCGCCUGCAGUGGGUACGGGCAGACUAGAGUUCGGUAGGGGAGAUUGGAAUUCCUGGUGUAGCGGUGGAAUGCGCAGAUAUCAGGAGGAACACCGAUGGCGAAGGCAGAUCUCUGGGCCGUUACUGACGCUGAGGAGCGAAAGCGUGGGGAGCGAACAGG
rnacentral:rRNA from 1 species